rnacentral:rRNA from 1 species
AUACGUAGGGUGCAAGCGUUAAUCGGAAUUACUGGGCGUAAAGCGUGCGCAGGCGGUUUUUUAAGACAGAGGUGAAAUCCCCGGGCUUAACCUGGGAACUGCCUUUGUGACUGCAAGGCUAGAGGCCUGCAGAGGGGGAUGGAAUUCCCCGUGUAGCAGUGAAAUGCGUAGAUAUGCGGAGGAACACCGGUGGCGAAGGCAAUCCCCUGGGCCUGUACUGACGCUCAUGCACGAAAGCGUGGGGAGCAAACAGGAUUAGAUACCCUGGUAGUCCACGCCCUAAACGAUGUCAACUGGGUGUUGGGUCUUCAUUGACUCAGUAACGAAGCUAACGCGUGAAGUUGACCGCCUGGGGAGUACGGCCGCAAGGUUGAAACUCAAAUGAAUUGGCGGGG